AUGGAAGUGUCAUUCUGUUUGUUCAUUCCUUUUUCAGAUACAAGCACAGGAGAAUCACUUAAUUGGUCUAAGCGCCUCCAUAUAAUUGAAGGGAUAGCUCAGGGUCUUGUUUACCUGCAUGACCUAUCGUCUCACCAAUGUGUUGUCCACAUGGAUUUGAAAGCCAGUGAUAUAUUGUUAGAUUAUGAAAUGAACCCUAAGAUUUCUGAUUUUGGGAUGGCUAGGAUAUUACCUUCUAGCGGGACUGAAGGGACUUCGAAGACUGUUAAAGGCACAAGUGGUUAUAUGGAUCCUGAAUAUGUCAGGUUUGGGAAAUUCUCAGUGAAGUCUGAUGUGUAUAGCUUUGGCAUCAUGAUUCUUGAGAUAAUAAGUGGAAAGAAAUGUCAUUCCAUAUUAUCCAAUGGAAAAAUGAUGCAUCUACCGAUGCGUGCCUGGAUGCUAUGGGAAGCAGGAAAGUCCCACGAGCUUGUUGAUGUAUCAUCAUCACCAUGUAACAACCAACAAGCAGCUCAGAUCACCAGAUGCGUUCAUGUGGCGCUACUGUGCAUUCAAGACUAUCCGAGGCAGAGGCCUACCAUGCCGGAUGUGCUUCUUAUGCUGCAUAGUGAGAGCGUCGGCUUGCCUACACCUAGCAUGCCACCCAACCAUCAAGCUGAAGCCCUGACGCUGGAGGGGUUCGGGGAGGUGAACGUACCAUUACAACCUGUUCAGGAGAUGGUCACUUCGUUUUUUUUGAAACAAGAGAUGGUCACUUCGUAG
rnacentral:rRNA from 1 species